rnacentral:lncRNA from 1 species
CAAACACUCUCAGCCACCAGCAACCACCAGCCAUACACCUUCACCCACCACACAUAGAUAGCACUUUCUCUAAUCUUUAUCCUUCCGAAACCUACGCUUACUCUCACGCCGGAGGCGCUUUGGGGCAAAACCCCCCCGCCGGCGUUGUUUUGUAGGCUCCCAUCCAGCAGCUACACCACGGAACCACCAGUCACGGCGGAGGAAGGACCGGGAUCGGAGAUUGGCGUUAUCAUUUG